UCAGCGGAUUCACCCACCUCCGCCUCCUAAAGUGCUGGGAUUACAGGCAUGAGCCACCGCGCCCGGCCAGGAGCACUGGACUGCAGACCAAGAGCUCUGGCUCCGGAAACUGGAGGCAUCCCUCUCCAUCCAAGACUGGCCUGCCAAGCUGCCUGCUUAGAAGGACUUUGGAAGCAAGACAGAGCAGUGUCUUCAUCAGAUACCUGCCAAGGCAAGUGUUGCUCAGGAUUGCCAUCCAGUUGGCUAUGUCUUCCUUUGAAAUGUGCUUUUAGUUAGGUGAUUGAUGUAUUUGAUUUUUGACUUUGUUUAAUAUUGGGUAUUAACUCAACGUUCUGUCUUGUGAGCUGUCAGCAGUUGAAGCAGUUUUGGAGGGAGGUUCUCAGAGUAAAGACUGCAUCUCAACCUUUCAGAUGUCUCUUCUUACCCAAGGGAUUGAAAGGGUGAGGGAUGUAAGGUGUAAAGAGAGGCCCUCUGACUCUUCCCCUAAGGGGUUAAAUCUUACAAAACUUUCAAGGGAUAUCAAGGGUACUUUAAAUUGAUUUCAAAAAUAUCACCAAAAGGUAGAGCCCAAGAGAGCAUUGUGCUCUGAGACACAAAAUCUUAUUUAUCCACAGAAGGCAAAGGGAUGCAUGCGUGUUGUGUGAGUAUGUGUGUGCAGCUUCCAGCAAGGAAAACGUGAGGAGAAAGGUGACAAAUGAAGAUUCCAGAAUUCACUGGAAGAAAAUUCCUGUUCUCUUUUCCCAAGACCGAACACAGAGAACUCAUGAGAGAUAAGGCAUGUACGUUGAGUUCAAGGUCAAGAGAGAUGGGACCAAAAAUGCAAAGAUGCAAAGAUGUGGUAGAAAAACAAGAAACAGUAAGGUAAAAGUACCACAGCUCAAAGUAAGAUAGCAGGUACCAGGAAAAACAAAUCGCCAUGUCUUCAGAGCUAUCCUGGCCUCUGAGGGAAGCUCCUCUUCUACACCAAGCUCCAAAUUGUAUCCUCAAGGAUAAAUGCUGAUAAUGGAUUAAGGUCAAGGCCAUUUACUGUGCCACAAUGCUAGAGGCUUGAACAUCUUUGCUAAUAAGUAAGGGGCAUCCGCCCUGGGUCCCAAGUGGCAGCAGUUUCUCUGGAGUCCUUUGUCAUCUCUUGGAGCAUUCUUUCUCCUUCUCUCUUUCUUCCUCAUGACAGGUGCAGAAAUAGGCUCCAUGCUGCACCUGCUUGAUAGUUACUCUGCUCUAGGGAUGCCCUGCAGUUGCCCACUAGACCAGCUAAAAAGGGCAAAUGCUCUCUGGCUUGCUUGACCUUGGUGGGAUUCUCCAAGGACUCAUUUCCCCUCAUCGUGGCUAUGAAUCCAGAGGGAAAAGAAGCAAGGCCUGCUUAGGUCUGCUUUUAGGCUGGGCAGGGCCUUCACAUCAUCCAGCUUUGUUCACUAUGCUAAAUUCUCAUGUAACAACUGUGUGUUUUUUACUGUUCUUCUCUGCGUAUAUCUUCUUUGGUCCUUGAAAAGGGAGUCUGUGGGAGGGCAUAAUUCAAGACUUUGGGAUUCUGCAUCUUGGCCAAAUACAAUUUUCUCAAUGUCUUCCUGUCAUAUCAUGAUUUAUGGCCCACAGAAGCUGAAACGGUGGAACAAGGAGUUUGGACACAGGGCCAAGGUGCCAGCAACUAGGAAAACUGUAGAAAUUAAGAAAAAAUAUUCAUUCAGUCUCCAUCAUCCUAAAAAUGUAUAUGUCAGUGCUGUAUAAGAUGGAGUUACAAAUUUACCUAAGGCAGGAUCCCUGUUGUCAAUGAAUUCACUAUUUAACAGGUCAAAUAGACUUAAAAAUGAAUAAUUAUUAUUAGUGGGUGGCAUGCUGUAUUGACAAGGAGUGUUAACAGUAGAUCUCAACCUCAGAACUCCUAUCUUUCUCCCCCAUAAACCCAUCUUCAUUCUCCUCCUCUUCCCAUCUUCCCUCUUUUGUCCCUUUGUAAUUAUUAUUAUUAACAUUUGAAACAUACAGGCGUACCUCAGAGAUACUGCAGGUUUGGUUCCAGACAGCCACAAUAAAGCAAAUAUUGCAGUAAAGAAAGUCACACAAACUUUUUUUUUGGUUGCCUAGUGCAAAUAAAAGUUAUGAUUAUACAAUACUGGCAUGUACAAACAUCUGGGGUCCAGCAUUCAACCAGUAACAACACUUUCUUUUCCUGGCCCUGUCCCCUGUGUGCAUAUUUCCCUAGAGAACAUCAAGGAGUAUGGUUGUGACAGGUCAGGCCAGGGGUGGGUGUUUUCCCAUUGGUGAUUCAA